AUUGAACGCUGGCGGCGUGCUUAACACAUGCAAGUCGAUCGGUAACGCGGGAGCAACCCUGGCGACGAGAGGCGGACGGGUGAGGAACGCUUGGGAAUCUGCCUAUCAGCGGGGGACAACCCGGGGAAACCCGGGCUAAUACCGCAUACGCUCUACGGAGGAAAGCCGGGGACCGCAAGGCCUGGCACUGAUAGAUGGGCCCAAGUCGGAUUAGCUAGUUGGCGGGGUAACGGCCCACCAAGGCGACGAUCCGUAGCUGGUCUGAGAGGACGAUCAGCCACACCGGAACUGAGACACGGUCCGGACUCCUACGGGAGGCAGCAGUGGGGAAUAUUGGACAAUGGGGGAAACCCUGAUCCAGCGACGCCGCGUGGGUGAAGAAGGCCUGCGGGUUGUAAAGCCCUUUCGGUAGGGACGAAAGCUCUUGCUCUAACAAAGCAGGAGGUUGACUUAACCUACAUAAGAAGCACCGGCUAACUCUGUGCCAGCAGCCGCAGUAACAC
rnacentral:rRNA from 1 species